GGCUCUGUUGGUUAGUACAGUAUCGAUUCCAUAGCCGAGUUUCUUCCCUCCUCUCUGUGAUAGUAUACCUAAGUAUCUCGUUCUCGAGCUUUCUUGACGCGCGAUAUCGUUGAAAAUUAAAGCCUCACAACAAUGUGGACAAAGUACAAACCCUCGUGCAAAUACGAGCUUGUUCGAACAGGUCAAAUAUGACAAAUCAAACACCAUACGUUUCCUCUCCAGUAUGUAGACACAAGAGGGGAGAAUUAAUCUAUGGAAAAAUAAUAGAUACCACAACGACGCCAUUUUCAAGGGCGCGUAGCUUUUAUUUUAGACGUAAAUGCUUUUCUUUUAUUUAUGUAUUCAUAGUAUGCGUUUCUUAAUGGAAAUGUACAUAUGUAUAAGCACGAGAGUACAACGUGAUGGUAUAUGUAUUUGUAUCGAGAAGUACAAUGAGAUGUUCCAUCAUCACCGCAGGUACAUCGUAUGUAACUAUAUAUAAUGUUUGAAAAAAAUCAUUAUACACGCAAAAGUGUAUUAUGUAAAGCCAUCCGAGAUUUGGCCCUUCCCCGUAUAAUCUCAAUUUAUUGGCCCUCUCGUCGACACCCUUUUGCAACUGCACCACUAUCUAAUACUGUAUGGUAUACUAUAGUGCUACAUAAGGUGUAUACACAUCAAGCAAAACGCCACUUCGUUGUCCGGGACGUUUCACUGUUCUCUGCUCGGAAAAUCUUUGUUGCGGUAAACUCGCGAUCGCGAAGAUUAACGCCGCGACAAAAUGUAAAUUGUAUUGGUUGUUUUUCCCUCCACAUGUGGUUGUGCAGCGAAAAUUUAAUAUCUUUGGAGACUUUACGAUUGAAUUAUUUUUUAUGCCCUUCGAGCUUCGUUUGGCCACUUCGUCAAGAUAAGAGCGAAUGGCUUUUUCAUGGCUUUGAGAAUUCAAUCCCAGGAGAGGCUCAAUCGUAAUCCCAAUUACGCAGACUGGGAGCACUUCUGCAUGAUGAAAAUUAAAUAUUUCACGGCCAAAAUGAAAUUAACCAUUGACUCGAUAAAUUGUGCCAUUUCGUUUCUAUACUCCGUACGAUCAAAUUCCUCGUCAUUUUCGUAAAAAAUCAUCCUUUGCGAAAACUUCUUCCAUCAACUUGUCUCGGUGCACAAACCAAUUCCAAGGGAGAUCCAUAUCAUCGCAAACCUAUAAAAACCCACCCCCACCCCCUCUUUCUCUCCGUCUCAUCAGAGCAUAAAAAUAGCAAUCCUAUCUCUCCACCCCUACAAAAAAAGCACUCUCGCGGCGUCGCGUUGUCCCCGAUUUUACCGUCAGCACGUGCCGAAACGCACACAUUCCUUUGGGGAUAAUGUACCAGUAACCAAAAAUACAACUCUGCACUACAUAUAUAUACAUAAUAUAAUAUAUUUACACUCAAGCGAGUAAAUUAUGUUACUGCGGAGUCACGUCGCAAAAUAAAGUAAAAAACGCAAGAUGCAUCCAGAGGUAUACACACGAGUGCGACGCAUAAAUAUUUUGCAUAGUGGUGACCUGUUCUCUCUACACCCACCGCAGCGGCAUCUUCGAUUCUUCAACUCUAUUUUUGCGUUUUUCAUGCACCAUCAUAUUUUUUUCAACAAGAAAAAGUACACCCAUAAAAAAUAUACAUUAAUACGCUCAUGGCAAAGAUUUUCCGUGUCUCUCUACCCGACUGUGCGAAUCAAAAAUCCAUACCGCAACGGUGCAACAUGUGUUACUUUGGCAAACUUGGGUCAAUCCAUCUCUCUCUCGACAAAAGAAGAGAGC